rnacentral:rRNA from 1 species
UACGAAGGGUGCUAGCGUUGUUCGGAAUCACUGGGCGUAAAGCGCGCGUAGGCGGCCAAUCAAGUCAGGGGUGAAAUCCCACAGCUUAACUGUGGAACUGCCCUUGAAACUGUAUGGCUAGAGUGUCGGAGGGGAUGGCGGAAUUCCUAAUGUAGAGGUGAAAUUCGUAGAUAUUAGGAGGAACACCGGUGGCGAAGGCGGCCAUCUGGACGACAACUGACGCUGAGGCGCGAAAGCGUGGGGAUCAAACAGG